rnacentral:rRNA from 1 species
GAUGAACGCUGGCGGCGUGCCUAAUACAUGCAAGUGGAGCGAACAGACGAGGAGCUUGCUCCUCUGACGUUAGCGGCGGACGGGUGAGUAACACGUGGAUAACCUACCUAUAAGACUGGGAUAACUUCGGGAAACCGGAGCUAAUACCGGAUAAUAUAUUGAACCGCAUGGUUCAAUAGUGAAAGACGGUUUUGCUGUCACUUAUAGAUGGAUCCGCGCCGCAUUAGCUAGUUGGUAAGGUAACGGCUUACCAAGGCAACGAUGCGUAGCCGACCUGAGAGGGUGAUCGGCCACACUGGAACUGAGACACGGUCCAGACUCCUACGGGAGGCAGCAGUAGGGAAUCUUCCGCAAUGGGCGAAAGCCUGACGGAGCAACGCCGCGUGAGUGAUGAAGGUCUUCGGAUCGUAAAACUCUGUUAUUAGGGAAGAACAAAUGUGUAAGUAACUAUGCACGUCUUGACGGUACCUAAGCAGAAAGCCACGGCUAACUACGU